UACGAAGGGGGCUAGCGUUGUUCGGAAUUACUGGGCGUAAAGCGUGCGCAGGCGGCUUCUCAAGUCAGGGGCGAAAGCCCAGAGCUCAACUCUGGAACUGCCUUUGAGACUGAGAGGCUUGAGUACGGGAGAGGUGAGUGGAAUUCCCAGUGUAGAGGUGAAAUUCGUAGAUAUUGGGAAGAACACCGGUGGCGAAGGCGGCUCACUGGCCCGUAACUGACGCUCAUGCACGACAGCGUGGGGAUCAAACAGG
rnacentral:rRNA from 1 species